CCACAGUGAGGGGAACAGCAAGCUAUUAUCCGGCCCAGUGUUAUCUGCCAAUCAGGACCUAGAGGAUCGGGGUUGUUUCACACACACACAAGGACCCUUUCUCUCUCCUCUACACACACACACACAAGCCUGGGAUUCCAACACACAGCCGCGCUUUCUUACAGUGAAUCAGCUGCCAAGCUGGGCUGGAGCGGAGCUGUGGAAACAACACCCAGACAGACACCUGAAGAGUCUCCCACAUCCUGACGGGCAUACACACGUGCACAUGUACUCGACGGAACCACACACGCGGUAGAACCACACACGCGGCAGAGCUGGUGACAAGACAUGCCUAGAGGAAGUGUUGAAACUGUAUGUUAGUCAUGAGACACCAUUAGACAGUUUGGGUGAUGAAUGAACCUACAUCAGGUGUGAAAGGACACCCAAAGUCGGUCUGUCCAGUCGUACUCCUGUCCAACAACAAAGAGAUGUGCCUGUGCUGUGUAGCCUUUGAUCUGG
ensembl:lncRNA